rnacentral:rRNA from 1 species
UAUGAAUGGCUUAGUGAGGUCUUGGGAUUGGCUUCGGGAAGCCGGCAACGGCAUCCUGUCGCUGAGAACUUGAUCAAACUUGGUCAUUUAGAGGAAGUAAAAGUCGUAACAAGGUUUCCGUAGGUGAACCUGCGGAAGGAUCAUUAUCGAGUUUUGACUGGGUUGUAGCUGGCCUUCCGAGGCAUGUGCACGCCCUGCUCAUCCACUCUACACCUGUGCACUUACUGUGGGUUUUACGGGUCGUGAAAUGGGCUCGUUCAUUCGGGCUUGUUGAGCGCACUUGUUGCCUGCGUUUAUCACAAACUCCAUAAAGUAUUAGAAUGUGUAUUGCGAUGUAACGCAUCUAUAUACAACUUUCAGCAACGGAUCUCUUGGCUCUCGCAUCGAUGAAGAACGCAGCGAAAUGCGAUAAGUAAUGUGAAUUGCAGAAUUCAGUGAAUCAUCGAAUCUUUGAACGCACCUUGCGCUCCUUGGUAUUCCGAGGAGCAUGCCUGUUUGAGUGUCAUGAAAUCUUCAAUCUACAAGCUUCUUAUGGGAGUUUGUAGGCUUGGACUUGGAGGCUUGUCGGUCCUUUACAGGUCGGCUCCUCUCAAAUGCAUUAGCUUGGUUCCUUGCGGAUCGGCUUGUCGGUGUGAUAAUGUCUACGCCGCGACCGUGAAGCGUGUUUGGGCGAGCUUCUAACCGUCUCGUUACGGAGACAACUUUAUGACCUCUGACCUCAAAUCAGGUAGGACUACCCGCUGAACUUAAGCAUAUCAUA